rnacentral:rRNA from 1 species
UACGGAGGGUGCAAGCGUUGUUCGGAAUUACUGGGCGUAAAGGGCGCGCAGGCGGCUGCUCAAGUCAUGCGUGAAAGGCCUGGGCUCAACCCGGGAAUUGCGCGUGAGACUGGGCUGGCUUGAGUGCGGGAGAGGAUGGUGGAAUUCCCAGUGUAGAGGUGAAAUUCGUAGAUAUUGGGAAGAACACCGGUGGCGAAGGCGGCCAUCUGGACCGCAACUGACGCUGAGGCGCGAAAGCGUGGGGAGCAAACAGG